AUUGAACGCUGGCGGCAGGCCUAACACAUGCAAGUCGAACGGAUCCUUCGGGAUUAGUGGCGGACGGGUGAGUAACACGUGGGAACGUGCCUUUAGGUUCGGAAUAACUCAGGGAAACUUGUGCUAAUACCGAAUGUGCCCUUCGGGGGAAAGAUUUAUCGCCUUUAGAGCGGCCCGCGUCUGAUUAGCUUGUUGGUGGG
rnacentral:rRNA from 1 species